rnacentral:ncRNA from 4 species
AGGUUUCCGUAGGUGAACCUGCGG